GAAGGAAGCAGCGCAGAGCAGAAGUCUUGCGGGUUCGGGGUC
rnacentral:SRP_RNA from 13 species